UCCUCUCUGACACAUAUAUCCCAGAUCCUCUAGGAACAUACUCCAUAGCAUCACCAGUUGUAGUUUCACCACGUCCUCUCCUUCCUCUCUCUUGAGCACUUCCACCCCUAUUACCUUUACUAGUUUCGGUCCUAACAUCAUUUACACUUACACUGGAUCCAAUAAACUGCCAAAAUAUAUAAAAGUGAGUGCAUUAUGUAAGGAAUUUAUUUAAUGUAAAUAAGUAUGGAAUUCAUUAUACCUUAUCAGUGUCGAUUGAUGCUCAUUGGUGUCAUCCUUGUGUAGGCAUCCAGUUCUGUUAUGGCCAGCUUCAUGGCAAAGACCACAAUGAAUCAAAACCCCUAUUUUAGGAAGCUUAUAUCGAUUUGUUGGUUCAUCAUGAUCUCUCUUUCUUCCCAACUUUGGUCUUUCAGGUGGCCUUCUGUAUGUUGGUAGUUUGACAGACCCAAGAGGAUGUGUUGGCCAAAACUUUUUUGACCUAAUAGGAUGAAUUGUCAUGCUCUAUGCUUGCAAAUAUCUGUCCUUGGUGAAGAAGUCAGACACAUAUCUUUCUGGCUGUCCAUUCAUUGCAUAAAUUACUC
rnacentral:lncRNA from 1 species